GCCGAUCAUCUUCUGGACCAGGUCCUCAUCAUCCUGACAUGAAGUUACAAAAUUCAUUGUGGUAACCAGAGAUUGAAAGAAUAAAUAAUAAAUUCUGAAAAAAAAUUAUUAGUUCUGCAGCUCUGAAGAUUCUACUUAGAAGUGUCAAAUAGUGAUAACAAUGCACUCAUGCAUACGAGUAGGGACGUAUAUAAGUCGAAUUGGUUCGGAUUUUUUAAUUACCAAAUCAAAUAAAAUAUAUCGAGUUAUUAAAUUUAAAUAUCAAACAAAAUCAAUAAAAUUUAAUUUUUUUUAAUCUCAAUUUUUCUCGAAUUUCUCGAUUUUCUUUGUUUUUUCUUCCCCAUAAAAUCUUUAUAGCAGAAAACAUAAAUUCAUGCUCCAAAUAUUUCUUUAAUUCUAGUAAGACAUAACUUUUUUCAAUAAAAUAACAUAAAUAUGAAAUGAAUCAUGGUAUUGUAUUAAAAUAUUCAAUAAUAAAGAUAAUAAAAUUGCAUAAAAUAUUAUUAAUAAGCUAUGAUGAAAACAAAAAUAAUUUAAAAUUACGACUAAUACGUGCUAUUAUCUACAUGACUAACCACUAAAAACGGAAAAUUUCACAUUAUAGCCUAUAAUUUAAUUUACAACCAACUAGCCCAAAAAUAAUAGGUUAAGAUUCAACAUCCAACUCCAAUAGGUUCUCAAAAUUAAUAUUUAAUUAUUAAAAAAUAUUCUCAAGCUUUUAAGUUAAUUUUUGAAUUAAUAACUAUGACUCAAAUAUUAGUUCAACAAAUCCGAUCCAUUUGGGUGGUAAAAAUUAAAUUUUUAACAAGUUUAGAUAUGUGGGUUUAAAUUUAGAAUUUAAUUUUGUGAGAAAUUUGGAGUGGGUAUUAUUUAGAAUCGUUAGAAGUAGUAUAAAGAGGUUGUAUAUAAAAUUUGAAGUCAUUUAAUGAUAUUUGGACUGGUUUUGAACAAGAAUUGCAACUGAAAGUUGUAAAAAAAGUACGUCUACAUAUGAUUGUAUAAGUGUGUAUAAAAGUGUAUAAGAUGUGUUUAUACGCUCAUAUACACUAUUAUACAAUAUUAAACAUUUAUACAAAAAAACUAACUUCGUCUUUUUCCAUGCAUCUUUUCUGAAAUUUAACUCAAAUCUUGCUGAAAUCUACUCCAAAUCACUUCAAAUUCAAAUUUUGAACUCCUUUUGAUAUUUUCAACCAAUUGAACCAACACCCAAUCGAAACAUCUAACAAACUAAAAAAAACUCAUUUUUGAAAGUAAAAUUUUGAAUGGUCUUCAAUGGCGGACUUCUACUCCUCAAUUUUCUUAUAUUGCAACCAGGUCAUGACACAAGAGGAAAACAGAAAAUAUAUGACCCUUGAAGUAUAUGUAAAAGAUGUGAGAAGAAAAGAGAGUAAAAGUAAUGAUUGUGAGAACAAAGAUAUAAUUUCAUAGCUUUUAAAAGUAAUGGUUGUAAGAACACAAAUUUUGAAUUUGCUAAUGCUUUCAAAAUGUAUACAAUAUGGGCUAGGUCGGGUAAAAUUUAAAAACAUGGGCCAUUUUUUAUAAUGGUAUAAAGUCAUAUGUAUUUUCUUGUAAUUCUUUCUAAAAAAUAAGUUAUACAUUUUAUCUAAACAAUGGAAAAACUAAAAAAAUAGAUAUCCAACACUAUUUUCUUUCAUUGUACAAUUGAAUUAAAUGUUUUAAUAGUAUUAGUAUUAAUUUGAUUUUGGAUUACAAUUUAUUUGAAUUACAAACAUUUAUGGACUAUAAAACUUAUGGAAUAAUAUGUUAAAAGAUAAAACUAUGAAAAGCUUAAGAAGUAUUUAUGAACUACACUACCAUAAAUAUUUCUAUAUAUUAAAUAUAUUUAAAAUUUCUAUACAUAUAAUGUCGGGUUGGUUUGGUUUUGGUUUGACCUUUUUUAGUUAAAACGAAAUAAAACCAAAUAUGAUCGGUUUUUUUUCAACAUUAGACUAAAUCAAACCAAACUAUACUCGAUUUUUUUUUGGUUUGACUCGAAUUAUCGGGUUGGUGCAGUUUGUCGAUUUCAUUUUGUGACGAUCCAAAGGGUCAUCACAUGUUUUCUUAACCAUUCUGUUCUUCCGAGGCCUUGAAAAUCUUAUUUAGAGUAGUCUCAUUUUGCGUGCACAGUCCAGGCGCGUAGCUAAAAAGCUUAAAUGUGAAAUUUGUAAAAAAUGCUAAGUUUUAAUUUUAAAAUAAAUAAAUUUGACUUUGGUAAAAAUUUUGAAUAAAUAAACCCCGGACCUCUGAUUUGACUGUCGCGGGGGGUCCGUAGGAAAAUGUGGGACGUGGGUGUAUGCCCGAAAUUGAAUUUCGAGGUCCCAAUCCCGAGAAAUGAAUUUUUAGGAAAUAUUAUUUUUUGAAAAAUGUAUAAGGAAAUUAGAAAUGAAAUAUGAUUAGAACGCAAUGGUAUCAGGCUCGUAUUUUGGUUCCGAAACUCGGUACAGGUCUUAUAUAUGUUUUAAGUCCUUAUUGUAAAAUUUGGUUAAAAUUGGACGUCGUUUGAUAUGUUUUAGGCUUAAAGUUCUAAAUUUGAAGCUUGAUAAAGUUUGAGAGAAAUUCUUGAUUUUGAGGUUUGAUUCUUUAGGUUAUUUGAUAGGACGGAUAAGUUCGUCUGAAGUUGUUGAGUCAGUUCAUGUGUUUGGUUAGGAUGCCCGAGGGCUCGGGUGUGUUUCGGAGGUGUUUCGGAAUGGUUUUUGGCUUAAAAGUUGUAGGUUUUUCCAGUUUGGGUAUGUCCUUCUUCGCGUUCGCGGGAGCACCCUCGCGAACGCGACGAGUAAAAUAUGGCUGAAGAAAUUUCCUUAUACGUGAACGCGUUUACCAGGUUGCGAACGCGAGGCACCGGGGGAUAUACCUUCACGAACACGAACACGGUCAAUUGGUCGCCAACGCAAAGGCCUGGGAAGAUUGUUCUCCACGAACGGGAAGUGCUUUCCGCGAAUGCGAAGGCCUGUUAAGCUUGGCUCAUCGCAAGCGCGACCAGCCUGACGUGAACGCGAUGAGUAUUUUUGCCCAGUUAUUUAUAAAAACCCAAACAGAACCCUUACGGGAUUUUUUCAAAUUUUCCAAAGUUCCUUCUUCUCCAAAGUUCUAGGGCGACUUUUGAAGAAUCUUUUCACCAUUAACUCGUGGAUUGGUAAUCUUUAGCUCGUUUCCUUCAUUUUUCAUCAAUAUCUAUUGAAGUUCUAUACCUAAAUCAUGUAAUUAAGGGUACAAAUUAGGGAAUUGGGUAGAGUUAGGGCUUUUUGAUUUUUCUUGAUUUACACAUCGUUUUGGGGUCGAAUUUGAAAACAAAUUAUAUAUUCGGGCUCGUGGGUGAAUAUGUGAUUUGAUUUUGGUCCGAACCUCGUGUUUUGACCAAGCGGGCCCAAGGUUGAUUUUUGGGAUUUUGGGAAUAAUACUUGGAAAACUAUAAUUAGGCAUUGGAUUCAAUUUGUUUAGCAUGUAAUGAUGUUACGAAGUCAUUUAUAUACAUAUAUAAUUGAAUUGGAUCCGAAUUCGAGAGGGAAAGCGGUAAUUGAGGAUUGAAUUGGUUGUGAAAGUUUGAGGUAAGUGUUCGGUCUAACCUUAGCUUGAGGGAUUAGGAGUUGAGUCAUAUNNNNNNNNNNNNNNNNNNNNNNNNNNNNNNNNNNNNNNNNNNNNNNNNNNNNNNNNNNNNNNNNNNNNNNNNNNNNNNNNNNNNNNNNNNNNNNNNNNNNNNNNNNNNNNNNNNNNNNNNNNNNNNNNNNNNNNNNNNNNNNNNNNNNNNNNNNNNNNNNNNNNNNNNNNNNNNNNNNNNNNNNNNNNNNNNNNNNNNNNNNNNNNNNNNNNNNNNNNNNNNNNNNNNNNNNNNNNNNNNNNNNNNNNNNNNNNNNNNNNNNNNNNNNNNNNNNNNNNNNNNNNNNNNNNNNNNNNNNNNNNNNNNNNNNNNNNNNNNNNNNNNNNNNNNNNNNNNNNNNNNNNNNNNNNNNNUCUAACCUUAGCUUGAGGGAUUAGAAGUUGAGUCAUAUUUGCAAACUGCUGCCUGUUGAGUACGACAUAUAGGUAUGGUGACGAGUAUCUAUACGUUGGUUUCGAGCAUGAACGUGAGUCUUAAAUUGAAAGUUGUUGUAUUCUUGAAUGACAUUUCAGAUGCUUUAUUAAUGAUCUUCUAUAUUGAGCAGAGAUUUGUCUUAUCCUCGUAGAACUUAUUUAUGAUUGAGCAUUGCCAUUAAUUGAGCUAAGUACUAGCUAAGUUAAGAUUGGUUAUAGUUGUUUCUCCCUUGCAGGGAUGAUUGUUGAUAUCUAAUUUUUUCUAGGUGUUUUUGUACCCAAAAUACUUCCAAAAUAGCAUAUAUUUGCAUGUAUAAGCACACCGAAGAGUUCUCGUAUUUUUAAUGAUUUUAAACAUAUUUACUGCCUAUUUAAUAAUACAAAAAUCCAAAAUUAUUUCUAAAAUUAUUAUUUUUGGUGAAUAACUUAUUUCAUUCUCAUAUUUAUGCCAAAAUAUAGUUAAGGUGAUUUUUUCAUAUUUUUACAAAUUUAUUUGGUAUUUUUAAAGCUAAAUUGCAUAUAAUUGCAAUUAUAACCUAUUUUAUGAUUAAUAGUAUUUUAUAAUAAAAAAUUAGUUCCAGCAUUUUAAAGUUAAUUUUUAUGUAAUGUUUGUUUAUUUAGUAUUUUUAAUUUACUUUUAAAACCAUUAUUACCAUUUUUAUAAAAUAAGAAAAAGGAAAAUUGCUUAUUUAAAAUCUAGCCCAAUUGCAUUUGAAUUACAAUCCUAAUUGGCACCCCAAUUCGAUCCAAUUUCAACCCCCAAAUCAAAUGACCCAGUUUAAUUUUGACCCAACCCUAACCCAAUUGCCAAACCUGCCUGUUUCCCUUAUAAAUCCAAGACGUUGAUCAUUUUGAUCAACGAUUGACACCUCCCAUUUCCUUUUUUAUUUCCUAACCCCUGCUAAUCCUACCUCAUUUCUCAAAGAAGGCGCCUCUAACUCCUCUAUCCUCUCAAACUCUCUCAAAUCCCUAAUCGCCUUCUACCACUUUCAACCCCAAACCCACCGAAAUCCAUGGCUGCUCUAGCCAUGGACGACCUGUACUAACCUCCUACUGCGAUUAGGCGCCUGAUGCCUGAAGGUUCGAGGCCAGACUUCAAGGGUCUUCACUCAGACCUUCGUCGCUUCGAGGUUUUCGGCCAUCUCCGGUGUUGCUCUGGCGUAUCCUAGCCUUCUGAGUCUGAUUCCGACCUUAUCGGCCUAAAUCAGACCUUUUAAAGCCUUUCUCACUUAGGGUUCCUCUGAAACCCUAGCGGCGAGGUUCUUUCUUCAUUUAUUUGUUUAGUACUAUGCUGGAUCUAUGCUAUAUUUGAUGUUUUAAGCAUUUUCCCCAAAUUUCCUUUUCAAAAAUCUUUUGAUUUCAAAUUAGGGUUUCUGAGUAUGUUUGUUAAUAUUUUGUUCGAUUCAUUUGCUUAUCAUCUCUAUGUGUGAUUGAGGUAGAAAACUCUAAUUUUUGGGGUUUAUUUAAGCUUCUGAGACUGUUUGUUUUACUUAUUUAUCGUCUCUAAACUCAAUUGAUUCCAAUAAACCUUACUUUCUUUGGGGUUUAUUCGAGUUCCUGAAGUUUGCUUGUGCAAUUCGCCUAUUUGAAAUUGUUCAUCUUGAUUUGAAAGUUUCAACAUCUCUUUUAGUGAUUCCUUUGAUUUAUGCUUUCUUACUAUUUGUCAAACUCGACUAUGUUUUUCAAAAGGGUUUUUUACUUGGCUCUUUGCAUGCUUCUGAUACUCUAUCUUUUCUCUACUACUAAGCCGCUGAAACUCGACCUACAUGACUAUCAUAUUUCAAGUGGUGCUAUAUAUUGAAUUUUCUUAGUGUGCUACUACUGUCUGCUAUUUCCUUUUUUGCAAAUAGCUUGGCCUCAAAUGUCUAGUGUUGUACACUGUAUUUAUAUGUUGAGUUUUCUUCUUUGACUGAUCUUUAAAUCUGUGACUGAUUUCAAACUUUUCCUUUGAGAAAUUCUGAUUUCACUUGCAUGUUUAGAACUGAUUGAUUCUUUUCCCUUUACUGUAAUAUAUACCUGGCCGAAUCCUUUCCCAAAAAUAAAUAUGUUCAUGUACUUAGACUUAAUCACUUAUUGUAUUGUUUUACUACUCCUUUUAUGUAAAUAAUCAGUCUGUCUCUUAAAUUGAUUUCUUUCCUUAUUUUUAAACCUAUCACUGCCUGUUAAGCAAGUUAUUCCUUAAUCAAAGGCAGCCACUUGUGCGAUUAAUUCUGAUUAGUGAUUGUUUCCAUGUGUAUGGCUCAUUACCGCACUUUUUACUCGUUUUCAAAAACUAUAAGUACAUGUACUUCUUCUCUUUCAAAGAGAAUAACAAAAGAACACAAGUCAUUACUUCUUACUCUCAAAUACACUUAGUUUUUUAAAGUAUUCGAGUUCUCUGAACUCAUAAGCAUAAAAGUUCUCUUCUCUGACUGUGGCUUUGCUUGAAAGAAUCCCGUAUCUCUUUGCUUACUUUUCUGCAACUAGUAUGUCUCUUUUUGUUUAAUUUUUUCCUUUCCCCUAUAUGUUUAUACUUCAGUCCUUUGUCUCUUUGUCUUACUGCUUCCAUACUGUAAUUUUCUGCAAGUUGGGUUUCCCUAUUCCUUUUUUUGCAUGAAUCCCUAUCCUCAAUCCCUUUGUAUGUUUUAUCUAUGGUUUAGAAAACAUGACAACACGUGACAUAGUUGUUCAUGUACAUGUACUGAACUCCCCUGAGUUCUAAACUCUUUCAAUUUCCAUCCCCCUUCCCCUUUUAUGUAUGCUGAGUUUGAGACUUUGGUAUAACAGUGUCCUAAUAAUUAUCUAGACCAUAGUCUGACCUUCAAUGGGUAUUUACUCAUAAUUGACUGGUUGAACAGACUGGUCAGGGGUGUGCCAGCCUACCCUAUGGCUGGGCAUGACUACUAGCCUGCUUUGGCACUCCCUAACCCCCCUCUAUUGCACUGACACUCAUUUUUAGAACUUAACUUCAGCACCCUCUUGUGAGCCCUGCCUUAGGACCCAUGAUCUCCCUCUGAACUUGGACACUUGAGGGCUGGCUCUUCCACACUGCACUAUAACUCAUUCGGAUUGAUAUCUUGGGUGUAAGCAUUGCCUGGAGUUCCUGAAACUCCUUGGAACUUUGAAAAAUCCUAGAUAAGAGAAGGCUUUGGAAAUAUUGAUCUCGUAAGUGGUUCAAUCUCAUGUUGUUAGACACCAAGUUUGAAUUAGGUUCCUUGGAUGCAGCUUGAUAGUUUCUGAUGUACUUUUAAUUUCAGUCUGAUUUUUACUAGUUUGUAAUAAUUUGUAUAAACUCAUGGGGAUUUAGUAAAGAAGGGAGGGGGUUACCUUUAUGCAUAAGGGUAUAAAUCAUGCCUAUAGGGUUUUACUUCUAAUGUGCACUUCAUAAGUAGAAAGCAUGCCUAUAAGAUUUAACUUCUGAUUUAUGCAACUAUGCAUAUAUAUACCAUGCCUAUAGGGGUUUGCAUUUCUGCAUAUAAUAAUAUCAUUAGGAAAACUGUUAGGCUUAUUAAUAAAUUGACAUGUAGAUAUUAUGUUUAUAAGGCUUCUAUUAAUGGUUGAAAAGGUCUUAAGAAUCAGUAACGUAUAAAAAGCAUACCUAUGGGAAUUUCGAUCCAGAACUGUCUCACCCGUUUAAAGCAGUGUCGAUUGUUGAAAUUCAUACUUAUUUUACUAAAACAAGCAACUUCCUACACCCUCUCUGGACUCUUAAAACUUUUUCUUAUAGUCAAUCUGCACUUCUUUAAAACUCAUAUCUUUCUUUUAAAUCUAAUAAACAUUAUCAAAAUCAGUGCAUUCUUUUUCUAAAAUCUAUCUCUUUCCGAUAAAUUUGAUAAAUAGUUUUUUGACCAGUUGCAUUCUUUGAAACCCACUUCUCCAUGGUUAACUGGUAAACCUUUGCUGAUUAGUCUACAACGCAUUCUUGUAAUAAAUUUGCACUCUUUUUCUGAAAUUUAUUUUACUUUGAUAAAAUUGGUAACUCUUUUACAGUCAGCUUGCUUUAAAAAAAAUCAGUAGUUCUAUCCCACAUAUAGACAAAUGUUGGCUAAUUAAUCAGUGUUAGACAACUGCAUUCCAGCGAGCCUAAUGCGGAAUUCCUGGCUAAAAAUAUGUUUUGAACUUUUCCGCUUAUCGCUUUUAAUUUUAAAGACCAAACCAGUACGUGCAAGACAUGCUAACUCUAUGGCUUUACGUGAUUUCAGGAGGCUUACUUGAGCCCUACUUUCUUAUUUGCUUUCCCAUACUUGUAUUGUUUGUUUUGAUUUUCGCCUUAGUAUUUUGACCUUUAAAACUUUCAAAAACCUUAUCCCUUUUCCCUUUAAGAUUAGCAAUCCUAAAUGCCUCCGGGACUGAUAGGAUUGGGGUUGAUACUAGCAUGCAAUAAGUAAUGAGACAUUCCACGCAUUAAUAUCUUAGCGGGGUGGGUAGGGUAGAAUAUGAAUAUGAUGACUGGUGCGCUAAUAUCACGUGCGACCCCUCUUUUGAGGAGUGUACACCGGGUAUUGCAUUGAUGUGAUCCAUAUUAUUUGCAAACCUAGGACCCCCUUUCCCCUUUUAUUGGUUAUUUUUUUAACUUUCUACUCCUUUUAUUUUUCAAACUCUUAAACUUGCUUGCAUUAUUAUCUGAAAACCCUUUUGCUUGAGACUUCUAUUUGUUCCUUUGUUAUUUAAAGUCACAAUCGUAGUAUGUCCAGGAACCACAUGUGUGGAUCCUGAUGGGUGCCUAACACCUUCCCCUCGGAAUAAUUUCUAGCCCUUACCCUAAUCUCUGGUCUCUUUAUCUCAAACCCUUCUCAAAAGUGUCCUAAUGCACUAUAAUCAUUAGGUGGCGACUCUACAUCUCCAAAGCCUAAUUCUUGAAAGAGAAAAGAGUUAUCCUCCCAAAUGUCGUACAAACCUAGGACCCCUUUCUCUUUUUUUACUCGUUAUUCUUUUUAAGUUUUCUUUCAAACUAACCUCCUAUACCUUCUAGUCCUUUUCUUUUAAAACUUUUAAACUUUUUUACAAUGUUAUGUGAAAACCCUCCUUUUGUUUGAAACUUCUAUCUAUCUUCUUCAUACCUUAAAGUCACAAACGUAGUAUGGCGGGGAACCACAUUAGUAGAUCUUGAGGGGUGCCUAACACCUUUCCCUCGAGAUAAUUUCUAGCCCUUACCCAAACUCUAGUUCUUCAUCACAAAUUCAUUCUUAAAAGUGUCCAAAUGUACUAUAAUCAUUAGGUGGCGACUCUCAAAACUCAAAAAUCCAAUUUUCGCUAGGGAAUAGAUUUGCCCUCCCGAAUGUCAUAUACCGAUUUCGAACUCUAGAAAAAGGAGGCGUCGACAUUAUGGCAACUCUGCUGGGGAUUCUUUAGGCUUUACCAAUGCAUUCUUCUUGUGGCUUUAUUAUCUCAUUAAUUGCUUUAUUUUUAUUCUUCCACUAUGAAACUGACUUGGAUCUUUAUGUCUUUUCUUUCCUUUAAAUGCUUUCUUUUACUGUUUUAUUUCAAUACUGUUGUAAUUACGAGCAAUUAUUGUAAUAAUUUAUCUUAUGAACGUGGAAAUACAUAUCAAUUUGUUUCAUUCUUGUACUUCAACAUCAUAUUCCACUCAUGCCAAAUAGAUACCAUAGGAAAAUGAGUGGUUGCGCUCUUCCGAUAUUAUCACCCUUUAAAUUUGGCAAUGGAAUAUUUGCGGGAAAAUCAGUCGAUCAGUGGUGCAGUAGACGGUUCCAUGCCUUUCCCUUCUGAGUUGUCCGCUCAAGGGUACCGGUCUAAUACCCCAAAGAACUCUUACUUCGUUUAACUGUACAUGCAUCAUGGUCAAAACUAGCUGAGUCAGUUAUUUUAUCCGCAUAAUGACUCAUUAAGAUAGCCUUGUCCAAAGCCCAUCGGGUUUCCUUGAAACCCAAACGAACACAUACAUGUUCUGUGCAUUUAUUUGGAGAACUAAAUGCUUGUUAUGCUAAUUAUUGGUUUAAAUGGUCGAGUCCAAUGGGGGUAAAGGCCUAACGCUUUGUUUUGCAGAAAUGAGGCACGAAGUCCCCAGAUUUGGUAUGGUAACCAACAUAUAUCCAAGGCUGCUAAAUUGGUGGAAAGACCUCCACUCUAACGAUCAGGUGCUCGUCCGCAAAUACUUAGGGAAUUUGCCUUAUCUUCUAGAUAUCCAGCCCGACAACAAAAUAAUAGAGGCUGCAACACUGUUCUGGGAUAGUGACAGGUCCGUGUUCCCCUUUGGGGAUCUUGAAAUGACUCCUUUGCACGAGGAAAUAGGAGGAUUAGUUGGUAUCCCUUAGGAGACUCCAGGUUUGACUAUGUCAAAAAAUCGCAAAGGUAGGGGUUUCCUUAAGAUGAUGGGGCCGAAGAAAAACCCAGAUUUAACCUGCUUGAAAGACACUUACAUUCCAUUCGACUAUCUGUACGAGAGGUACGACCUAGUAAGUCAUAUCGCACCUACUCAUAUGAAUUCACCCUUACUUAAUUGGGGCAUAUCCACAUGAGGGUCUUCAUUUUUAUGUUUUUCUUUUUGGGAAUGAUAGUGUUCCAAGAAGGCUAGGAUCCACACCAGACUGGUCAUGGUAACCAAGAUUUUGAUGGAAGGAAUUGGUGGGCAGCCUUUCAGUACAGUGCCUAUGAUCGUUGUUGAAAUAUACCGGGCCCUGGACAACCGUCAUCAAAAGGCCAAUCAUUUUGAGGGUUGCAACUUUUUACUUCAGCGCUGGCUCGUGGAGCACCUCCAGAAAUGUGAAUAUCGACAAGAUAUCCUACGCAGAGACUGGGAUGAUCAAAUUGCCUUCCACCAUCCAAGGCGUAUGAAUUAUAUGCCUAAAUGUUCUCCCAGCCAAAGGACGCUGGAGGAUGGGUAGAGUUAUUUGAGAAUCUAAAAAAGGACCAGGUAUAGUGGAUGUUUUAAUGGUUCCUUAUGGAAGAGUUUAUUGUUCAAUCCCUAGACGCACCAUUUCUCAAACUCAUUGGUCUAAGAGGAACUUAUCCCUACGUUCCCCUUUAAGCCAUGAGGCAGACUGGAAGAAAGAAAAUCAUACAAAGGGUCGAUAGAAUGAGCCACUUUAGGGCUGAUUUUCUGGACGAUGAUAGCCCUCACAAGUGCCAAGCUCAGCAUAUGUGGCAUUGCAAACUCAUCUUGGGGAAAGAAUUUAUUGAGCCAGACAAGUAUCAUGUCGGUUGUGUGCCACACUACUCAGGUUGGCUGGAAGAUAAUCACAGUGGUUUGGGUCUGCCUGGGUUCAUUCGAGGACAUAAGGUCAGUGACGAGAAAGCUGAAGCACGGGUUAAGUACAAAUAAUUGCACAAGAGAAUUCAGGAGUGUGAAAGUGAGCAUCAGGAAAUACAAGAAACCCAUCAGAAGUUGAUCGAUGAGUGGAAGUAUAUGGUUGUCUGUGCCAACAAAUGACUAGGAUAUUUGGAGCGGGUUCUAGUGGAGCUGGAAGGAAAGUUCAUUAAGAGGAUUGAAGGCUGUCAAAAUGCUAAAGGAAAUGCGGGCGGACAUCUUGCCCAAGCUUAUUUUUUUCUAGGACUACGCGAGCUGGUGAAACUGUUCGAGAGAGAUAAAGAUACCGAAUCUGGGGAAGGUCCUUUUGGGACCAAGUAGUUUGGACUCUUUUAUUAUGCUUUAAUGAUGUAAUAAGUCCAAAGGCCACUAGUGACAUUUUACUUUCUAUUAAUUAGUGUCGUUUGGAUUCAUUUUAUUUUUUUCAAUAAAAUAAGGCAUUUAGCAUCAUAAGUUCUCCAAAACUAUUUGUCGCUAGGCCUACCUUGGGCACAACGAAGCACCCAAAUUAGGACACGAUUUAUAUUCUCGCACAAUGUGUUUAAAUAUUGAAGCAUUUUUUUUUCAUAACCUGCGCUAACUCAUUACCUUUUGUUUUUCUAUUAUUUUUAUUCCCCUCCCCAAAGGUUAGUUCGUGCAUUCUGGCAUCAUCAUCAUCAUACAGUACGAGAUCCAAGAGCCCUCCACCUCCUGCUCCUCUGAGUCCUAUCCGGAACAAGAACAAAGGUAGAAUGGGAGAUUCAAGUCCAGAAAGGAAAGAACUGAGAUUCCUCAAGGUACCUCGGUUGCUAAGGAAACUACUGCCCAACUUCAGUAGAAAUUAUUGAAGUUCCGAGAAGAACUGGAUCAGGUUCGGAACUUGGCAAACUUAUCAUUCUCUCUCACCGCUUCUGAUGUCAACUUUCCCAACACCCAAAAUCCCGCACCUCCACAGAAUAACCCCAUAACCACAGAUACAACCCACUCAUGUCCAACACUGCAACACAUGCCAUAUUCCUAACAACACUCCACUUCUCAUUCCUGAACCACUGAACACUACAAAUGAUCCUUCCCACAACACUCCCAUCUGCGUGGAUACUGCACCCCACUAUACUCAACCAAUCUCAAGUGAACUGGAGCCUGAUGACAAAGGCUUCAUCAUCAGGAACUUGGCCAUAGAACUCAAAAGGUUAACUAGCCGAGUCCAAGGUGUCGAAGGAAACAAAGGUAUUGAGGGGCUGAAUUAUGAGGACCUCUGCAUUCAGCCAGGUGUUGAACUUCCAGAGGGGUACAAAUCUCCCAAGUUUGAAAUGUUCGAUGGCACAUGAGAUCCUAGAGUCCACUGGAGGACAUAUUGCGAUAAGUUGGUCGGAGUUAGAAGGGAUAAGAAGAUCCGUAUGAAACUCUUCAUGAGAAGUUUUAAGGGGGACGCUUUUUCUCGGUACAUCAGCCAGGACCCCAAGAAAUGGACAAGCUAGGUAGGUAUGGCUAUAUUUCAUGGAUAGGUUCCGAUUCAAUAUAGAUAAUGCACCGGAUAUAUUCUCCAUCUAGAAUUUGAAGAAUAAACCUACCGAGAAUUCCGCGAGUAUGCUACUCAUUGGAGAUCAGAGGCUGCUAAGGUUAGGCCGGCCUUAGAAGAGGAAAAGAUGAACAGAUUCUUCGUUCGGGAUCAGGAUCCACAAUAUUACGAGAGGUUGAUGCUGAUCGAGGGUCUGAAAUUCUCCGAUAUCAUCAAGUUGGGGAAGAGAAUUGAGGAAGGCAUUAAGAAUGGUAUGGUUACUAAUCUUUAAGCAUUGUAGGCCACCAACAAGGCUUUACAGUCUGGUGGCACAUCCAAGAAGAAGGAUGUGAGUGUCGUGAUGGUCGCACAGGGAGAUAAAUCACCACUGAAAUACCACACUUGCCCAUCACCUCCAUUUACAUAUCAUCAUAUCCCAAAUUACCAAACACCCACACCCUCUUACCAGAAUCCACCACCCGUUUACCAAUCAUCUCCACCUCCUACAUAUAAACCCACUUCCCCCAAAUACUCUCUACUCGCACCUAUCUACCAAGCUUAUAGUGCCCAAUCCUCUCACUACCAAUCACCUCCCACUCGCCAAAAUUUCCCUAGACCUAGGCCAAAUUUUGACCACAUGCCUCCCAGACAAUACAAAACCAUCGCCAAACAAAUUGACCUGCUUACAUCACCCCUAUCCCUACCAUAACUCCAGAAAAUCCUUCCCAGUGGGUUAACCCUAAUAAGACUUGUGCGUACCACUCCGGCAUGAAGGGACAUGCCAUAGACGAAUGUCACUUAUUGAAGGAAAAGAUUCAAACCCUGAUCGACAAUAAGGUCAUUGUAGGAAAGGAGCCUACUCCUAAUGUUCGUAGCAACCCUCUGCCUGACCACAAAGGUGGAGACAUUCACAUGAUCGAGAUCGAAGAUGACUGGGACCCCAAGAGGCUGAUAGGAUUGCUUGUUGAGGGUGAUGAGCCAAAGAAACCAGUGAUCACACUUAACCUAAUUGUUGUGCAGAAUCAACCCUCCAGGGGCAAUGAAGUAAACAUGUCUACACCUCUCUAAUUUGAAGCACCUUAUUCUGCAAAGGCGCCCAGACCAAUUGAGGUUGAGUUUGGAGUUUGGAAAGCACCCGCACCUUUCAAAGCUGAUGUGUUACCACCAAGGGUACCUAUUCCUGUUGCAAUGUCAUACAUAACAUCAUUCCACCCAAAUUCCAUACCAUGGGAUUACACAUCUGAAGCUAGGAGGAAAGGGAAAGUCAAGACUGGAAAAGCAAUUGAUGCGCAGGGUAUGACCAGAACAGGCUGGGUUUGCACCCGAGAACACCUAGCUGAGUCCAGUAAGCAAGCAUAUGGACAUCCUACUAAAAUUGGGCCCGAUGAUCUUUGGAGGAAGAUACAGGCAAUAGAAUACUUAGUCGUUGAAUAGCUAAAUAAAGCAACGGCACACAUCUCCAUCCUAGCUCUUUUUCACAGCUCCGACGCACACAAGAAUGCCUUGAUGAAGAUACUAAGUGAUGCAUAUGUGCCCAGCAACAUAACUGGAGGAGAAAAGGUGAACAUGGUAGGGUAGGUGUUGGAGAGCCACAAAAUCACCUUCCACGAAGAUGAGCUUCCACUAGAAGGGCUGAGCCACAACAAGGCACUGCACAUCACCAUGCAAUGUGAAGAUUACUUCAUCACUAUAGUCUUGAUCGACGUAAGGUCCAGCCUCAAUAUCUGUUCGUUGAUAACUCUCAGAACAUUGGGGAAGAGCCUACAUGAGAUCAAGGAUGGGGCCAUCAAUGUCAAAGCCUUCGAUGGGUCCCAAAGGUCUACUAUUGGAGAAUUUAGCCGAUGUUUGCAAAUGGGACCAACCUAGUUCGAUGUUGACUUUCAAGUGAUAGAUGUCCCAGCAUCUUACAACUUGUUAUUCGGACGACCAUGGAUACACACCACAGGAGCAGUAGUAUCAACCCUGCACUAGGUAGCAAGUGUUAAUACAAUCACCAAGAGGUGAUUAUUCAUGGCGAUGGUAGCAACCCCAUAUAUUGACGCUAGACCAUCCCAAUGAUUGGAGGCCGAAGAAUAAUAGACGGAGAAACAUACCACCACAUUGAAAGGGCCAACAAUGUAGAUAAGGAUAAAUGGUAGGAUAACAAGAUUGAAAGUAUCCUGAAUGUGUGUGGGUAAGAACCUGGAAAGGGACUCGGCAAAAACCUCCAGGGAAUCACCAAACCCAUCAAGCGGAAGAAACAUGGUACUACAUUUGGUUUGGGGUAUGAAUACACUUGGAAGGAGUUCGAUGACUGGUCGCCCCCAUGGCGCUGCCCCUACUACCCGCUAGAGCAUCCGAUACCUUGCUUGGAGAAAACUUUCCAACCAUCAGAUACUAUACACGGGUUAGAGGAAGAUGAAGCAUUGGCAACCAUGAAGAAUUUGUUUCUGGAGGAUGAUAAUAUGGACUGAUGUGUUCUUUUCAAGGAGUAAGGGGAGGAAGGCCCUUCUAUACAAGUUGUGAACCGAGGAGAACCCCUUAGCAAUUGGUCAAUCAGAACCACCAGGGCCCGGAAAGCUUCGGGUAGCAAGACUAAACAAAGCACCAUGCAUCUCAUUUUACUUUCACUAGCUGAUUUUCUUUCCAUAUUGUCUUUAAAUUUUGAAAAGAGCUCCGAUGUUCAAAUAAUUAUGAAUUUAAUCAAAGCAUUUCAGUUUAUUAUAUAUCUCGCUCUUACUAUUUUCUCUAUCAUUUACUUUAUUUUACACAACAUUACUAUUAUUUAUCUUGACGAUGAACGAACGAUUGUAACUUGCAAUGAGACAACACAAUAAACAGAUAUAGAUUCAGAAGAGGAUGAUAUAGCAGAAGAGGUCGUCAGAGAUGUCACACCCCUUUUUAACCGAACUCUUACUAAUCCCUCUUAAAUUAACAAAAAUAUUUAAUAAUAGCUUGAAAAGGGUUUUCAAUUUUUUAAAGUGACAAAAAUUGUGUUUCAAAAGGAAAUAAACUCAGAGUCGCCACCUAACAUUGGUUUUGGUGUGCCAGGUCACCAUUUUUAAAAUAUUGUGUCCUUUUAAAACAUUUGGACUCAAGACUAAGUCCGCAACAGAGAUUCGAGUAAGGGGGUUCAUUUGACUCGGGGAGAAGGUGUUAGUCAUUCCCUAAGUCCCGUGAAGUUCACGAUUGCGUACAUGAUCAAGUUUUCUAUUAAAAUGUUUGAUUGAGGUAGAAAACACAGAAAAGAAAAAUAAACACACAAGAGGCUCGAGGUCGUCCCUCCAAAAAGUAAAAGCAAAAAUAAAGUACUAUUCUAUACUUCCUCGAAUUACUUCGUCUUUGGCCUUCAUUUACAUACACUUCGGAGCAUACCCCGGAUAAUAAUAUAUAUAUAAACUUCACGGGGCAUUCCCCGAAUAAAUUUAACUACGGGAACGACCCCUCGUCACAAAUUACAAAAAUCUUAAAGUUUGCCAACCUAAAUGAAUCGGCCUAAAUAUGCUCCUAGCGAUCAAAAUAAUAAAGCAAAAUAAAGAACUAACGGGGACCAUCUAAAACUCAAAUUAUUAAAAUCUUACAGUUCUCUGCCAUAACCAUUUUGCAGAAAGUUCAAAACGGCUUUUGCCCUUUAAAUCUGACAACUCCAACGACCCAUUUAUCAUUGUAGCCUAUGAAUAGGAUCUAUUUCAUUAAUUAAACUUUCUUCCCAAACUAAAGUAAAUUCCAAAUACUAUUAAUAUCCUUUUAAUAAUCAAUUAAACAAACAUUCAGAUUUAUCCUAAUAUUCAUCAACUUAAUCACAUCACCCAAAAUCAUAUGUCAUACAAAAGAAAUGUAAUAAACAGAGAAAAGUUAGGAAUGGACCUCGAUUGAUAUUUUUAAAUAAAAAAUCCAACAAAAUGGAUGAGCUCAGGCCGCAUCCUUGCACGCUCGGAUGGACCUCGACUCCCCACCGAUGACUGAAGUUGACGUCUGCUGCCACCAAAACUUUUUGCCGGAAAAAGUUGAUAUUUAAUUUGCGGCGAAAACUUGGCAGCGAAUGGCUGAUUGGUGGAUCAUUUUCUUGAAGUUUAAGAUGGCGAGGAAGAGGGAAACGACCAGCUACUGGUUUCUCCGGUGAGUCUGAUGUUAGUGAUGGUUGUUCGAUGUGUGCAGGAGAUGGGGGGACGGUUGAGCUGAACUGGAGAAGAAGAAACAGUGGCAGAUGUUUGGGUGUUGUAGUGAGGGAGCUACGGUGGUUAUGGGGUUGAGUUCCGAAAAUGGCUGCUGAUCUUGUUCAAGAAGGAGAAGAAAUAGCUAUGGGCGUCGUUUUAUGUUCGAGUGCAACUAGACGGUGGUGUUCUGGCGUUUCUUAACGUGAAGAAGCAGAAGGGUGGUCGUUGGCGGAGGAAGAUGGUGGAAGGCUGGCGAUUAUGGAGGUCUAUAAGUCCUAGGGUUUUUUUUUGUGUUCUCUGAAGAAGAAGAAGACUAGGGUUUUUUGUUCUCCAUACAUGUACAAGGUUUUCAAGGUUCUCUUUCAAUGUCUUCAGGUUCAAGAAGAUGAUGGUCUGCCUAAGGUUUAUGUUAAGUUUUUUGGGCUUCUUGGGUUAUGGAAAAAG
rnacentral:lncRNA from 1 species